AGAAAAAAAAUUAGAUGACGAAGACAACUCAUUGGACACCGUGGAUGAAUAUAGUCCAAGCGAAACAGAUGCAGAGGAAAGCGGAUCAACUUUGACAAAGAAGAGAAGAUUGUCUUAACUAUGGCGAAAGUAUGAGAUCCACUCGCACCAACCUAUUAUGUGUGUUAGCUUGCGAAACAUACCUGUCGAAUCGGUCACAACUUGCUGAGGAAGUGAUUCUAGAAGAAGCGAACGUGGUGAUUUCGAUUCCAAUGCCUUUUGCUUUUCCCCUUUUUCCUUCUCAACUAGAUAUUUCCAAAUGUCCGCACCUUCAAUUGAAAUUUAGAAUCACUAUCAAAAGCGGGUUUGGCAUCA